AGCGAACGCUGGCGGCAGGCCUAACACAUGCAAGUCGAACGAAGCCUUCGGGCUUAGUGGCGGACGGGUGAGUAACACGUGGGAACGUACCUUUUGGUUCGGAACAACUCAGGGAAACUUGAGCUACUACCGGAUGAGCCCUUAGGGGGAAAGAUUUAUCGCCGAAAGAGCUGCCCGCGUUAGAUUAGCUAGUUGGUGAGGUAAAGGCUCGCCAAGGCCACGAUCUAUAGCUGGUCUGAGAGGAUGAUCAGCCACACUGGGACUUGAGACACGGCCCAGACUCCUACGGGAGGCAGCAGUGGGGAAUCUUGCGCAAUGGGCGAAAGCCUGACGCAGCCAUGCCGCGUGAAUGAUGAAGGUCUUAGGAUUGUAAAAUUCUUUUACCAGGGACGAUAAUGACGGUACCUGGAGAAAAAGCCCCGGCUAACUUCGUGCCAGCAGCCGCAGUAACAC
rnacentral:rRNA from 1 species